UACGUAGGGGGCAAGCGUUGUCCGGAUUUAUUGGGCGUAAAGAGCGCGUAGGCGGCUAGAUAGGUCCGUUGUGAAAACUGGAGGCUCAACCUCCAGACGUCGACGGAAACCGUGUGGCUAGAGUCCGGAAGAGGAGAGUGGAAUUCCUGGUGUAGCGGUGAAAUGCGCAGAUAUCAGGAGGAACACCGGUGGCGAAGGCGGGUCUCUGGGCCGAUACUGACGCUGAGGAGCGAAAGCGUGGGGAGCGAACAGG
rnacentral:rRNA from 1 species